rnacentral:rRNA from 1 species
GUAGGUGGCAAGCGUUGUCCGGAAUUAUUGGGCGUAAAGCGCGCGCAGGCGGUCCUUUAAGUCUGAUGUGAAAGCCCACGGCUCAACCGUGGAGGGUCAUUGGAAACUGGGGGACUUGAGUACAGAAGAGGAAAGCGGAAUUCCAAGUGUAGUGGUGAAAUGCGUAGAGAUUUGGAGGAACACCAGUGGCGAAGGCGGCUUUCUGGUCUGUAACUGACGCUGAGGCGCGAAAGCGUGGGGAGCAAACAGGAUUAGAUACCCUGGUAGUCCACGCCGUAAACGAUGAGUGCUAAGUGUUAGGGGGUUUCCCGCCCCCCUUAGUGCUGCAGCUAACGCAUUAAGCACUCCGCCUGGGGAGUACGGCCGCAAGGCUG